AUUGAACGCUGGCGGCAGGCUUAACACAUGCAAGUCGAGCGGAGAUGAGGUGCUUGCACCUUAUCUUAGCGGCGGACGGGUGAGUAAUGCUUAGGAAUCUGCCUAUUAGUGGGGGACAACAUUCCGAAAGGAAUGCUAAUACCGCAUACGUCCUACGGGAGAAGCAGGGGAUCUUCGGACCUUGCGCUAAUAGAUGAGCCGAAGUCGGAUUAGCUAGUUGGUGGGGUAAAGGCCUACCAAGGCGACGAUCUGUAGCGGGUCUGAGAGGAUGAUCCGCCACACUGGGACUGAGACACGGCCCAGACUCCUACGGGAGGCAGCAGUGGGGAAUAUUGGGCAAUGGGGGGAACCCUGAUCCAGCCAUGCCGCGUGUGUGAAGAAGGCCUUAUGGUUGUAAAGCACUUUAAGCGAGGAGGAGGCUACUGAGACUAAUACUCUUGGAUAGUGGACGUUACUCGCAGAAUAAGCACCGGCUAACUCUGUGCCAGCCGCCGCCGUAAUAC
rnacentral:rRNA from 1 species